rnacentral:rRNA from 1 species
UACAGAGGUGGCAAGCGUUGUUCGGAAUUACUGGGCGUAAAGGGCGCGUAGGCGGCCUUCUAAGUCAGACGUGAAAUCCCCCGGCUUAACCUGGGAACUGCGUCUGAUACUGGAUGGCUUGAAUUCGGGAGAGGGAUGCGGAAUUCCAGGUGUAGCGGUGAAAUGCGUAGAUAUCUGGAGGAACACCGGUGGCGAAGGCGGCAUCCUGGACCGAGAUUGACGCUGAUGCGCGAAAGCCAGGGGAGCAAACGGG